ACUACUACAGGGAUGGUUAUGGUGAGCUGCAGGUGAAGCCAAGACGAUAUACUCACCAGUACAAACCCAAGAGAACUACUACAGGGAUGGUUAUGGUGAGCUGCAGGUGAAGCCAAGACGAUAUACUCACCAGUAAAAACCCAAGAGAACUACUACAGGGAUGGUUAUGGUGAGCUGCAGAUG